CCUAAAAAAUUCGGGUUGAAAGUUUUAGGGUGUCCCCGGUAUAAAGCCAAGGUGGAUACACAAAAGGUGUGGUCAUUAAAACAAAUUGAGUGAAUCGUAAACCAUAGAUGGUUGUGGCUAUAAUGGUUCUUUAAAUCUGAUUAGUUGCUAGUGAGACAUGUCGGAGACUUAUUGCAAACAUGUCAUCAGAAUUGGCGUCUAUUACACAAUUGCGUUCAAUUUUGUUGGAGGUUUAUCUCAGUUUGUUAAAGGCGUUUCAUAUUUUCUUGUAAAUAAAUCGCGCUCGACUUAUCCAAUUUUUUACGUAACUGGAGGAUUAUUUGCAAUCUUUUGUGGCAUUUUGUUAAUGAUUGGAUCUAUCAAGGUUUGUGUAAUACAUUUUUUUUAUGAUAAUUUGGACACAAUUUUUAGGAGGACUAUAAAUACGUUUUGAUUUAUUUGAUUUUGACUAUUCCUGGCCUUCUGUGUAUCACAAUUUAUUCAGGAAUGAUGAUUUAUCUGCCAGAGUUUGUUUUUCUUUUUGUUACUUUGUUGGUUUUAGUUUGGCCGAUGUAUUACUGCGUUUAUUUGUUUUACAGAAAAUUACUUCAAAAACGCAAUUACGUGUCAACAGUCGAAAAAAAUAUACAAAUGGACAGUCGUGAAUAAUCCUGUAAUAAUUGUAAUUAAUUAAUUCAAUGAGACAACCGAACGAUUAAUUUUGUUAUUAAUAGAAAGACCCCUAAUUAGACAGACAAUUGAUACGUAAUGUCUUUAAAUAAAGAAACUAAAACCUC